UACAGGGGGGGCAAGCGUUGUUCGGAAUUACUGGGCGUAAAGGGCCAGUAGGCGGCCAACUAAGUCCGACGUGAAAUCCCCAAGCUUAACUUGGGAACUGCGUCGGAUACUGGAUGGCUUGAAUUCGGGAGAGGGAUGCAGAAUUCCAGGUGUAGCGGUGAAAUGCGUAGACAUCUGGAGGAAUACCGGUGGCGAAGGCGGCAUCCUGGACCGACAUUGACGCUGAACGGCGAAAGCUAGGGGAGCAAACGGG
rnacentral:rRNA from 1 species